CUACGGGAGGCACCAGUGAGGAAUAUUGCACAAUGGGGGGAACCCUGAUGCAGCAACGCCGCGUGGAGGAUGACGCAUUUCGGUGUGUAAACUCCUUUUAUAUGUCAAGAAAAUGACGGUAGCAUAUGAAUAAGCACCGGCUAACUCCGUGCCGAGCAGCCGCGGUAAUACGGAGGGUGCAAGCGUUACUCGGAAUCACUGGGCGUAAAGGACGCGUAGGCGGGUUGGAAAGUCAGGUGUGAAAUCCUACAGCUUAACUGUAGAACUGCACUUGAAACUUCUAAUCUAGAGUAUGGGAGGGGGAGAUGGAAUUAGUGGUGUAGGGGUAAAAUCCGUAGAUAUCACUAGGAAUACCUAAAGCGAAGGCGAUCUCCUGGAACAUUACUGACGCUAAGGCGUGAAAGCGUGGGGAGCAAACAGGAUUAGAUACCCGGGUAGUC
rnacentral:rRNA from 1 species